CUGCAGUUAACCGCAGUCACUGGGUGGUCAAUUGACUGCACACGCCAGCUUCAGGGAGGUGAAUUGAAGGCACACGCUAGCUUCCCGGUGGUCGCGCCUUCUGUAUUUUGUUCGGUAGAUAAAAUCUACCGAAUGCCCUGUCAGAAAGGCAUGAAUAAGCCUUUCUGCAGGGAAAAUAAAGUAUGUUAAAAGUCCAGUCCAUAGUCUAAAGGGAGCAGGC